AUUGAACGCUGGCGGCAGGCCUAACACAUGCAAGUCGAGCGGUAGAGAGGUGCUUGCACUUCUUGAGAGCGGCGGACGGGUGAGUAAUGCCUAGGAAUCUGCCUGGUAGUGGGGGAUAACGCUCGGAAACGGACGCUAAUACCGCAUACGUCCUACGGGAGAAAGCAGGGGACCUUCGGGCCUUGCGCUAUCCGAUGAGCCUAGGUCGGAUUAGCUAGUUGGUGAGGUAAUGGCUCACCAAGGCGACGAUCCGUAACUGGUCUGAGAGGAUGAUCAGUCACACUGGGACUGAGACACGGUCCAGACUCCUACGGGAGGCAGCAGUGGGGAAUAUUGGACAAUGGGCGAAAGCCUGAUCCAGCCAUGCCGCGUGUGUGAAGAAGGUCUUCGGAUUGUAAAGCACUUUAAGUUGGGAGGAAGGGCAGUAAGUUAAUACCUUGCUGUUUUGACGUUACCAACAGAAUAAGCACCGGCUAACUUCGUGCCAGCAGCCGCGGUAACAC
rnacentral:rRNA from 1 species